GUCAAUUUUAGAAUUGUUCUUUUGACAUUCGUUAAAAUUUAAAAUAAGCAGAGAAAAUUGCAUAGUCCUUGUGCUGGAUGACACAAACGAAUAGAGGAAGCCAUUUAUGUUUUU
rnacentral:snRNA from 1 species